rnacentral:rRNA from 1 species
GUAAUCUUAACNGCCGCAGUUAACAGCUGUGCUAAGGUAGCGUAAUAAAUUGUCCUUUAAAUGAGGAAAGGAAUGAAUGGUUUGACGUAGGAGCCCCUGUCUCUAUUAGAUAAAUAGAAAUUUUCUUCUUAGUGAAAAGUCUGAGAAAACAUUAAAAGACGAGAAGACCCUUUUGAGCUUAACUUACUAUUUUAUUGUUAAAUUAGGAAAAUUUGGUUGGGGCAACUGUGGAGCAUAAGAAGCCUCCGCUAAUAUGGUAUGAAGAUCCAGAAUAUUUUGAAAAAAGAAGAAGCUACNAUAGGGAUAACAGCGUUAUCUUCUCUGAGAGAACAAAUUGAAGGGAGUGUUUGCGACCUCGAUGUUGAAUUAAGGUUUCCGUUAGGCGCAAAAGCUUAUAUGG